CCCUUAGAUGUUCUGGGCCGCACGCGCGCUACACUGUUCGACGCAGCGAGUCUUAACCUUGACCGAAAGGUUUGGGUAAUCUUCAGCAAAGUCGAACGUGAUGGGGAUCGAUCAUUGCAAUUAUUGAUCGUGAACGAGGAAUUCCUAGUAAGUGCAAGUCAUCAGCUUGCGCUGAUUACGUCCCUGCCCUUUGUACACACCGCCCGUCGCUACUACCGAUUGAAUGGUUUAGUGAGAUCUCUGGAUUGACGUUGGCUAGGGGGCGACCCUUGGCCAGACUGUUGAGAAACUGCUCAAACUUGAUCAUUUAGAGGAAGUAAAAGUCGUAACA
rnacentral:rRNA from 1 species